AGAUGGCGGCGAAUAAAAGCCCAUCCAAAGAUAGGAAUUAGCCACACCUCAAUAUGGACUUUGAAGCGGCAAAUAUUGCUGCAGGGCAGAAGCUCAUCAUUUCAAAAUCUUAAGGACACACCAAACUGAUCAAAGACCUUACUCAGUCCUAAUGUGCCUUUUCAGUCCAGUCCUUGGGUAUCUUGGUUGGAUGUCAGUGAGCUUUUAUCUGCUCUUACAAGUCCUAUCUUCUCAUGGCUGAAUGGGGCCUUCUCAUCCCAGACUUCCCUUUUCACAGACAAUGCAAAAUUUCACCUCAUCCCAAUACUGCUGGGUUGAUUGACUGGAUCAAGGAUAGUCAUGUCAUACCAGUGGACAGAAUUCAAUGUGAGAUGUUUAUAGGGGAAGCCACCAAGGAGAAAUUUCUACAGGAAAGAAAGAAGCUUCUUUUCUUUCUUCUUUGGACAAUGUAAGGAAGUAGGGUCCAGGGAUCCCUGGGUGGCAGCGGUUUGGCGCCUGCCUUUGGCCCGGGGCGCGAUCCUGGAGACCCGGGAUCGAAUCCCACGUCAGGCUCUCGCUGCCUGGAGCCUGCUUCUCCCUCUGCCUGUGUCUCUGCCUCUCUCUCUCUCUCUCUCUCUCUCUGUGACUAUCAUAAAUAAAUAAAUAAAUAAAUAAAUAAAUAAAUAAAUA
rnacentral:lncRNA from 12 species